AUGUCGCCCGUCAAGGCCGAGGACCUGGUGCCGCACCCCUGCAGGGAGCAGUUCGCCGAGCUCGACUACUGCAUCACCAGCCCGCCGCCAUGGAUCACCACGGUGGUCGUCGCGUUCCAGCACUACCUGGUCAUGCUCGGCACCACCGUCAUCAUCGCCACCAUCCUCGUCCCCAUCAUGGGCGGCGGCCAUGAGGAGAAGGCGAUCGUGAUCCAGACCAUCCUCUUCCUCGCCGGGAUCAACACGCUCCUGCAGGUGCACUUCGGCACACGGCUCCCGGCCGUCAUGGGCGGCUCCUUCACCUACAUCUACGCCGCCGUCGCCAUCAUCAUCAGCCCGCGAUACAUCCUCUUCAUCGGCGCCCCUUUCGAGAGGUUCGUGUACACCAUGCGGUCGCUCCAGGGCGCGCUCAUCAUCGCCGGCGUCUUCCAGGCCGUCAUCGGCUUCUUCGGCAUAUGGAGGGUCUUCAUAAGGUUCCUGAGCCCCCUCGCCGCUGUCCCCUUCGUCACCCUCUCCGCGCUCGGCCUCUUCUACUUCGCCUUCCCAGGGGUCGCCAAAUGCAUCGAGAUCGGUCUACCGACGCUCGUUCUGCUCCUAAUAUUCUCAGAGUACGCGUCCCAUUACUUUGCCAAAGGGAGCUUCGUGUUCGGCCGGUGCGCGGUGCUGGUGACGGUGAUCAUCGUGUGGAUCUUCGCCGAGAUACUGACGGCGGCCGGCGCCUACGACGAGAGGAACCCCGUAACGCAGUUCAGCUGCCGCACCGACCGCUCCGGCCUCAUCCACGCCGCGCCCUGGGUCAGGUUCCCUUACCCGUUCCAGUGGGGAUACCCCAUCUUCUGCGCGCAGGACUGCUUCGCCAUGAUGGCCGCUUCCUUCGCUUCGCUUAUUGAGUCUACCGGCACCCUAAUCGCAGUGUCAAGAUACGCAGGCGCAACAUUCGUCCCGCCUUCUGUUUUCGCUCGUGGAAUUGGCUGGCAGGGUAUAUCUAUCAUACUAGAUGGGAUGUGCGGUACGUUGACAGGCACAGCAGCUUCAGUUGAGAACUGCGGUCUACUGGCCUUGACGCGAGUUGGAAGCAGACGAGUCAUCAAGAUUUCCGCUUUGUUCAUGAUCUUCUUCUCGCUGUUUGGAAAAUUUGGAGCAAUUCUUGCAUCUAUUCCGUUGCCGAUUUUCUCUGCACUUUACUGUGUUCUCUUUGCUUAUUCAGCUGCUGCAGGCCUCUGCUUCCUUCAAUACUGCAACCUUAACACCCGGAGAAGCAAGUUUAUACUCGGCAUCUCCUUGUUCCUGGGGCUAUCCAUACCACAGUACUUCCGGGAGUUCGAGACAUUCUACGGCUUUGGACCAGCUCACACACGUUCACUGGCGUUCAAUGUCAUUGUCAACGUGAUAUUCUCCUCGCCCGCGACUGUUGCUGCCAUACUUGCCUACCUUCUCGAUUGCACGCACCUCUACUGGGAACCCCAUGUGAGGAGGGACAGGGGCUGGCUGUGGUUGGAGAAAUUCAAGUCCUACAGGCAUGAUGGCAGAAGCGAGGAGUUCUACGCUCUACCAUAUGGUAUGAGCAGGUACUUCCCCUCGCUCUAG
rnacentral:rRNA from 1 species